rnacentral:lncRNA from 1 species
UGAUACACCACUGAGUGUGUAUCUACUGCUUCGUAAAAAAAUGUUCCACAACGACAAGUUUAGCAUUCAACACGUGUCGCGGGAGUGAUGAAGAGAGAGGUUGCUAGGUGACGAGGCGUAUAUACGGAAUUUUAACCAAAUAACUGGUGAGAGGGGAAAGAGGGAGGAAGAGAGGUAGUCAGCAACAUGUAGGUUCGCUGAGUACAGAAAAGCUCGACACUGUGUAUCGGUGCAACAUUUCAAUAUAUAGGCUACACAUCGGGAGAUCACCCGCAGGAUAUGGUCAGAAGAGGAAUGGAUGUAUUGUGGAUGGAGAGACGAGGGGAGAAGAGAGUGUCGGGCUCCUGAAAAACAGUCCCUCUUCGCCUGUGAACCGCCGCCACCCCUCCGCCCACCAAACUGCGCCCCCCCUCCUCCCUCCCCCAUGGCGGCCAAGCCUGUCCUUUCCCUCCUGUUGGCCGUGCUGGCCUGCACGGGGCCCACUCGCUCCUCCCCUCCCCUCCUGCUCCGCCCCCGGGAGAGAGAGAGGGACUUGGGCGUAGUCAACAUCGCUGUGGUCCACUCGGGCUCCUCCCUGCUCCCGGAGACGGCCGCUGCUGGGGGAACGGGCGCAGUGGGCGGGCCGGGGGGGCCUCAGGGAAGGGGGGCCUCGUCGUCAUUGGCUACGGUGUCGGCAUCUGCCACGCUGGCGUCUGCAUCGGCGGCUCUGGUGGGCGACAGCGUGAUGACGCAGUAUGGCCCGGCCAACGUGAUCUACCUGACGGUGAACGAGAGCAGCCCGGCGAGCCUUCUGCUGCAGCUGUGUGAGCUGCUGGCCACCACGCCACUCCAGGGCCUGGUGUUCGAGGAGGAGAGGCCCCCGCCACACAACCAGGCUCCCCUGGCCCCCAUGAUGGAGUUUGUCUCGGCCCAGACCGGAGUGCCCGUUGUGGCCGUGGGAGGAGGGGCCGGCCUGGGCAGGGAGCCACAGGUAACUACCUGGCUGUGACCUUUCCCUUGUUAAUGGACUUCAAGUAAUCAACCAUUCUGUCGUGGCAGAAUAAUUGAAUUUUCCACAAUAAGUCUUGAGUUACUGUGUGUUUGAAGCCUUACUAAUUUGGCACAUGACUUCUUCAUUUUCUGCUUGUAAACUGGGUUUCUGGUUGAGAAGACAUCAUAAAACCAGAUUGCAACCAUCUGGUCUCUGUUACAACCAGGUAAAGAGGCGUCAUGGGGAAAGACCUUGUAUUUUGGUUGCUAUCUGGUUACUCAAAAGAUGUUCACAAAACGUCCUCCUUAUACAACUAGUAUUGAACUGCAUUGUUGGUUAAGGUUCUUGUAAAGUAAGCAUUUCACGGUCUACACCUGUUGUGUUCGGCUCAUGUAACAAAUACA